AGAGUUUGAUCCUGGCUCAGAUUGAACGCUGGCGGCAUGCCUUACACAUGCAAGUCGAACGGUAACGCGGGGCAACCUGGCGACGAGUGGCGAACGGGUGAGUAACGCACCGGAACGUGCCCAGUAGUGGGGGAUAGCCCGGCGAAAGCCGGAUUAAUACCGCAUACGACCUACGGGUGAAAGCGGGGGACCGUAAGGCCUCGCGCUAUUGGAGCGGCCGAUGUCAGAUUAGGUAGUUGGUGGGGUAAAAGCCUACCAAGCCGACGAUCUGUAGCUGGUCUGAGAGGACGACCAGCCACACUGGGACUGAGACACGGCCCAGACUCCUACGGGAGGCAGCAGUGGGGAAUUUUGGACAAUGGGCGCAAGCCUGAUCCAGCCAUGCCGCGUGCGGGAUGAAGGCCUUCGGGUUGUAAACCGCUUUUGUCAGGGAAGAAACGCUCCGGGCCAAUACCCUGGGGUAAUGACGGUACCUGAAGAAUAAGCACCGGCUAACUACGUGCCAGCAGCCGCGGUAAUACGUAGGGUGCAAGCGUUAAUCGGAAUUACUGGGCGUAAAGCGUGCGCAGGCG
rnacentral:rRNA from 1 species